rnacentral:lncRNA from 1 species
CUACUCUUAGACCUUGCCAACAUGUCCCUUCUCCAAACUCUAUGUCCUUUAAGAUACUUAUUUAUGUCAAUCCACUGAUCCCAACUAGUGUUGCCCUCAUAUAUACAUGGAUAUGGGUCACCUCCAGGAACUUGGGAAAUGGGCAAGAGACUGUAUGCCUAAAGAAAAAUGCUUCUUCCUCCUUACGUACCAAUCACCUGCCAGGAGCUCCUUAGCUAUGGGUGGUGCCUCGUGAGCUCCUCUCUCAUCCGUGUUGGAAUGCUGACUAGUUUGAUCUUGUGCCAGUAACCACAGGUGCUGUGCGUUCAUGAGGGUGGUAAGGGUGUCACAUCCAUAGGGCAGCAUCUUACAGUCCCUGUUCUCUGGCUCUCUUAAGCUUUCACCCUUUCUCCAGUGUUUCUGAGACCAAAUCCCAAAUCACGAUUGCUUGCAGCAGUAUUACUUCUCACCAUCUCAUUGUCCAGUUAGGGCUAAUGCUUUUGAUAGUGGGGCAGAUGUUGGGAAUCUUUUGUUCAACACAGCCACUCAGAAUUUCUGACUUGUCUCACUGAGUGGUUUUACUAACAAGGAAGUUGCAAGCAGACCCCGUGCAUUUGGUCUGUCAACAGCGGAGAACCUAUAGAGACUGCACGAGAUGGUAUAUUUUUAGUGAAUACUUGUGGUACUAGCUUCCACCGUUACAGGAGCCAAGGAAAUGGAAUUCAGCCCUUUGCUCUAGGAGGAAAUACUGUGGGAGCACUGUCUUUACCACCGUGUUCAGACAUGGCAAAAUGGCUG